AACGAACGCUGGCGGCAGGCCUAACACAUGCAAGUCGAGCGAACCCUUCGGGGUUAGCGGCGGACGGGUUAGUAACGCGUGGGAAUAUACCCUUUGGUACGGAAUAGCCUCGGGAAACUGAGAGUAAUACCGUAUGUGCCCUUCGGGGGAAAGAUUUAUCGCCAAAGGAUUAGCCCGCGUUGGAUUAGAUAGUUGGUGGGGUAAUGGCCUACCAAGUCUACGAUCCAUAGCUGGUUUGAGAGGAUGAUCAGCAACACUGGGACUGAGACACGGCCCAGACUCCUACGGGAGGCAGCAGUGGGGAAUCUUAGACAAUGGGCGCAAGCCUGAUCUAGCCAUGCCGCGUGGACGAUGAAGGCCUUAGGGUUGUAAAGUCCUUUCAGAUGGGAAGAUAAUGACGGUACCAUCAGAAGAGGCCCCGGCUAACUCCGUG
rnacentral:rRNA from 1 species